CUUGUCAGAGUCUUUAGAGCCAACCAGAGGUGAGUAGAAUAAACUCUUAAGUUUUUAAAGUAAUGAAAUAUAAAUUUUUGAGCAUGUUCAUGCAUCAUAUAUGCCAUGUGAUAUCUUAGGUUGUUGCAUUAGAAAUUUCACGAAUAUGUUGCAUGGUACGUUAUGUUGUUGAUGUGGGUAAAUGCUGGAUGAUCCAAUAGUCCCUGACAGGAAGUCCAGUGAGCCUUUGACUACGCCCUGGCACAGAGUUAUGAUGACAGGAAGUCCAGUGAGCCUUUGACUACGCCCUGGCACAGA
rnacentral:lncRNA from 1 species